CCUACGGGGGGCAGCAGUGGGGAAUAUUGCACAAUGGGGGAAACCCUGAUGCAGCGACGCCGCGUGAAGGAAGAAGUAUUUCGGUAUGUAAACUUCUAUCAGCAGGGAAGAAACUGACGGUACCUGACUAAGAAGCACCGGCUAAAUACGUGCCAGCAGCCGCGGUAAUACGUAUGGUGCAAGCGUUAUCCGGAUUUACUGGGUGUAAAGGGAGCGUAGACGGAGAGGCAAGUCUGAAGUGAAAGCCCGGGGCUCAACCCCGGGACUGCUUUGGAAACUGCAGUUCUAGAGUGCCGGAGAGGUAAGCGGAAUUCCUAGUGUAGCAGUGAAAUGCGUAGAUAUUAGGAGGAACACCAGUGGCGAAGGCGGCUUACUGGACGGUGACUGACGUUGAGGCUCGAAAGCGUGGGGAGCAAACAGGAUUAGAUACCCGAGUAGUC
rnacentral:rRNA from 1 species